AUAUUGGAAACCUCUGUUCCCUAAGGAAGAUGAAAGUGAGAAGAUAAAGCUCUGAAAAACAGGUCUUUAAAGAGGUAACUAAGUUAAAAUGAGGUCAUCAGGGUGGGCUGUAAUCCAAUAUAAAUGCUAUCCUUAUAAGAAGAGGAAAUUUGGGUACAGACGGUACAGAGGGAAGACCAUAUGAAGACACAAGAGAAGACGGCAAUCUACAAGUCAAGGACAGAGGCCUCAGAAGAAACCAACCCUGUCAAUGCCUUGAUCUCAAAUUUCUAGCUUCCAGAGUUGUGAGAAAAUAAAUUCCUGUUGUUUUAAGCCACCCAGUCAGUGGUCCUUCAUUAUAGUAGCCAGCUACUUCUAAUGAUGACCAGUGACUUUUUGUUUAACUGAUUAAUUAGCUUUCUUUUUCUUUUUCAUAUCACUGUGAAUUCGUGGAUUUUAUACAAUCAGUGUGUUUCAAUUGGUUGCAGUUAUUUUUUGUUUUGAAUGUUUAAAUAUUUCCAUAUUUGGCCAGAGGAAGCCCCAGAGGAAGUUAAUUUUUGGGUCAUUUUGAUAUAACCCCGGUAGUCUUUGAUAACUCUCUUGCUUUCAGGUACAUUUUCUGUCCUAGACCUGGAAGCAACUAUCUUAAAAAUGGUACAGUAGUCCCUCCUUAUCCAUGGGGGAUACAUUCCAAGACUUGCAGUGGAUGCCGGAAACCAGAGAUAGUACCAAAUCCUAUGUAUAAGAAGUUUUUCCUACAUAUAACUGUGAUAAAGUUUAAUUUAUAGGCUUGUCCAAGUGCAGUGGUGUUUACAACUAAUUUGAUCACAACCAGUUAUAUGUUCCUUUUGUUCCUUCUUCACUCCCACUUCUUUACUUGACUAGCCUAAAAAAAGUUUAAUUCAUAAAUUAAAACAGGCAAAUAUUAGCAAAAUUAACUAAUAAUAAAACAGAACAAAUACAAAAAUAUAGUGUAAUAAAUGUUAUGUGAGUCCGGGCGUGGUGGCUCACGCCUGUAAGCCCAGCACUUUGGGAGGCCGAGGCAGGCGGAUCACAAGGUCAGGAGAUCAAGAUCAUCCUGGCUAACACAGUGAAACCCUGUCUCUACUAAAAAUAAAAAAUAAAAAAAAAUUAGCCAGGCAUGGUGGUGGGUGCCUGUAGUCCCAGCUACUCGGGAGGCUGAGGCAGGAGAAUGGCAUGAACCCGGGAGGUGGAGCUUGCAGUGAGCCGAGAUCGUGCCACUGCACUCCAGCCUGGGCGACAGAGCGAGACUCUGUCUCAGACAAAAAAAAAAAAAAAAAAAGUUAUGUGAAUAUGGUCUCUCUCAAAAUAUCUUACUGUACUGUACAAUACUUCUUGUGGUGAUGUGAGAUGAUAAAAUCCCUAUGUGAUUAAAUGAAGUGAGGUGAAUGACAUAGGCAUUGUAACUUAGUGUUAGACUACAAUUAACCUGAAAAUACAUCAAAAGAAAGAGGAUUUGCU
rnacentral:lncRNA from 1 species